rnacentral:rRNA from 1 species
ACCUGCCCAAUGAAAUUUUUAAUGGCCGCAGUAAUUUGACUGUGCAAAGGUAGCAUAAUCAUUAGUUUUUUAAUUAAAAGCUUGAAUGAAUGGUUGGACGAAAUAAAAUCUGUCUUUAUUUAAAUUAUAAUAGAAUUUAAUUUUUAAGUUAAAAAGCUUAAAUAUUUAUAAAAGACGAGAAGACCCUAUAGAUCUUUAUAUUAAUUUAAAUUAAAUUAUUUAGGAUUUAUUUAUUUUUAUUUUAUAUUAAUAUUUUAUUGGGGUAAUAAGAAGAUUAAAUUAAUUCUUUUUUUUAUUUUAUAUUAAUAUAUAUAUAUUUGAUCCUUUAAUAAAGAUUAAAAGAUUAAGUUACCUUAGGGAUAACAGCGUAAUUUUUUUAAAGAGUUCAUAUCGAUAAAAAAGUUUGCGACCUCGAUGUUGGAUUAAAAAUUAAUUUAGGUGUAGAAGCUUAAAUUUUUGGUCUGUUCGACCAUUAAAUUUU